CGCCCGCGCCUGGCACACGCCCGCGGCUGCCACUCGCGGGCUCCCCCACGCACCCUCUCCCAGGCUGGCCGGCUCGGGGCCGUUCGCACACUCAAACGCGUACACACAUCGCUCUGGCACCCACAGGAUCUGCGGGGUAUUCGCCUCUUCGCCCCGCGCCACACCACCCAGCUGAGCAUCGUCUUCAGGCUACCCUGCGGGGGCGCAGGCCAGCUCUCCCAGACACCUGGAUGGCAGCGUAGCACGAAGAGCCAGCUGCCUUCUCUUCGAGCCAAAGCAUGGGUACGCGGUCCAGACCAUUGGCGAGUAGACCUGGGCAUCCUGAAUUUACAGCUCGGACUGCAUCUCUGCAACUCGCCCAAGGGGAGUCUAUGAAGCAGCUGCUUCUCUUAAUUAAAAAGGAAACAGAA